UGUUUUGUGGUUUAGUUGGUUAAAACGCUGGUUUAGCGAAUACGGAGUCGUGGGUUCAAAUCUCACCAGCACGC
rnacentral:tRNA from 1 species